GACGAACGCUGGCGGCGUGCUUAACACAUGCAAGUCGAACGGAAAGGCCCUGCUUUUGUGGGGUGCUCGAGUGGCGAACGGGUGAGUAACACGUGAGUAACCUGCCCUUGACUUUGGGAUAACUUCAGGAAACUGGGGCUAAUACCGGAUAGGAGCUCCUGCUGCAUGGUGGGGGUUGGAAAGUUUCGGCGGUUGGGGAUGGACUCGCGGCUUACCAGCUUGUUGGUGGGGGAGUGGCUUACCAAGGCUUUGACGGGUAGCCGGCCUGAGAGGGUGACCGGCCACAUUGGGACUGAGAGACGGCCCAGACUCCUACGGGAGGCAGCAGUGGGGAAUAUUGCACAAUGGGAGGAAGCCUGAUGCAGCAACGCCGCGUGCGGGAUGACGGCCUUCGGGGUGUAAACCGCUUUCGCCUGUGACGAAGCGUGAGUGACGGUAAUGGGUAAAGAAGCACCGGCUAACUACGUG
rnacentral:rRNA from 1 species